AAACAAACAAAACCACAUAUUUUUGGGCAGGGUGCAGGCGCUCACACCUGUAAUCCCAGCACUUUGGGAGGCCAAGGUGGGGGAAUCAUGAGGUCAAGAGUUCGAGACCAGCCUGGCCAACAUGGUGAAACCCUGUCUCUACUAAGAAUACAAAAAUUAGCCGGGGCUGGGUGCAGUGGCUCACCCGCCUGUUUGUUUUUAAGAAGUCCUGCCCAGGCCAUCCUUUGAGGGGAACCCCAAGAUGCCGGAAGCCCUCCCGGGGCCGGGCAGGAUUUAAGUCCUUAACUGUGCGGGGCCUUGUUUGGCCCUUUACACACAUUACCCUUCAAAACACCUUCCAGGGUGACAUUAGCGUCUCUUCCAUUCUGUAGAUGGUGAAUGGAGGCUCAGAGGGGUUUGGUAACUUGCCCAAGCUCACAUAGCCAGGAAAGGGUGUAGCUAGGACGCCCGAUGUCUGGCUCCAGGGCCUGGAGGCUCCUAGGGGACGGGCUCCUCUUGCCCUAAGACUGGGGCUAGAAGACCCCCUCUCAGGGAGCCAGAGAGGGAACUUGGUCCAGCAUUCCAGCGCUUUCCAAACCAAGCUCCUCAGAGGCCUGGGGGUCCCCAGCGGUGCCCAAGGGGCUGCUAUGGGGCAAACCAGAGGCUGGGGAGUAGCCCACGCUCCCCAUUGAUUCCACUGAGCAAUGUUCCUUGACCCCCUGCAUAUUUGGGACAUUUGGGGAGCAGAAUGCUGGGUGCAGAGGAGAAAUCUUGAGGCGGAGCUAGGAUGUCUCCCGCUUCUUUAAGGCUAGUCCAGCAGCGCUGGCUUCGCCUCCUUCCAUCCCGAAGUGCUGGGGAGUCCUGACCCCACCCCCCAGGGCAGACUGCCCGGCUGAGUAUGACGAGGUCCUCAGAGAUCAACCCACUGGGCUGGGUUGGUGCCAAGGAGCCCUGGCAGCCACACCGGGACCCCACUCGGUUGAAGCUGUGGCUAGGUCCCCUCAUCCUAAGCCUGCUCUGGGGACAGCUCCAGGACAACAGCCUCACCUGGGACCUCUGCAAGAAAAGUUCAUAGCUUGGCCUCCUUUGGGACCAGGGUACACCAAGAGGGCAUGGGGAGGGCACUGCCCUGGGGAACUGGCACUGGGGGAUGGGAGGCAAGCAGUGGAAGCAGCUGGGUGCAAGGGUGGGGCCUCCAGACUCCAGCUCAGUUAAGGUCGCCAAGCAGGUAGGAUCUUUCUGGAACCCAGAUCUGAUCACACCUCCCUGGAGGUCCCUUCAGGCCUGCCCUCCCUGCCACACCCUCACCAGACAAAACACUUCCCUGUGCCAUCCCCAAGCUCUCACCUCCUCUCAUCUGAAGCGCUGCGCCUGGCACACCAGGCUCCACCUUGCCUGCCUGGCCAAGCCCUACUAGGAAAGUAAAAUGUCACCUCCAGAGAGAAUCAACCACUUUAUUGCCUGCUCUCUCCAGCAUCUCGCGGAUUUACCUACAUGUAGGAGUCCCCUACCCAACCCCGGGCAGCCCAGGAUCCUGCACCCAGUGAGCCCUCAUCAAUGGCUAACUGAAUGGGAAGCUAGUGAGAGGGUGGGGCUGGCGGUGGUCAGCCUAUGUCAGCCCUGGACAGAAGGGGUCUCCCUCAUCCUGCAGCUGGUCCAGGAAGCAGCCCUCUUUGGAGGGCUCCACUGAGAGCUCCUGCCCUGCUGGCUCCGUACCCACAGCAGGGCCAGGAUGGAGGACGCUGCAUGCUGUGCCAGAACGAGUGUCUAGUGGACCUCCCCACUAGACUCCCCACUAGACUCCCCACCUAGCUCCCUAGCCCACCACAGGCACCGCUUUUGGUUCUAGGGUUCUGCCCAGCCAGCCUCCCUGUCCCAAGGCCAGGCCAUCCCAGCUGAGACCCCUGCCCAGGAUCCGCUGCAUGGCUGGCAUCUGUGCCAACCUCCUGAUGAGAGAGGCUCCCAAAACCCAACACUGAGGGAGAGGAGAGCCUGGUCAGCCCCAGGGCAAUCAGUUGGGGGGGGGUCCCGAAGAGAGGUGGCCUGACACCAGACAGCAGAGACAGGGCCAGGGCGGGUGGGCAUGUCUUCCUGGGCAGGAGCCUGGCAUCGGGAGUGCCAUCUGAACCGCAGAGCACAAGAGGCCUGGGCAGCGGCCUGAGAGCAGCUCCACCCUCUGGCCUCAGUUCCCUUCUCUGAGGGAAUGGGACAAGGUCACGGCCCAGCUUUGACACCCAUGAAGCCUAAACAUGGAGUAUGGAAGCAUGACUUUGCACCAGCCACUUUCCACCAUUGAGAUCAACUGCCUCCAACUCGUGCAGAAGUUGGGGUGGGGGUGCAAAGGCCCAGCCCCUUCCUUGGGGCUCAGCGGGGAAAGGAGUGGGGACUGUCAGACCCACUCUGGCCUUCCUCAUGGCUCAAGUCCAGAUGGCAGGAACCAGACAGAAAAAAGCGCUGGAGAGCUGGAGCUACCCCACCCAGCACUUAUCUCCGAGCCCUAGAGAUGCUUGCUCACUGCAGGGGAAAUGGUGACAUCCUGGGACCAGGCUUCCUCCUGGCCCGCAGUCACAUCCGCCGCUCUCUCUCUAAGACCCCCAGGCCCGCCUCCGCACCCAGCCCACAGGCGGAACACUGCCACCUGCCCAGCCAGAUCCUGGCCUCACUGUGGCCAACCCCAGAGAAGGGCCUUCAGCCCCAGCCCAGCUGGGAGAUGCCAAAGAGACCUGGGGAGAGGGACUGGGGCUUAGGGUGGGACAGACUCUAUUUCCUCCUCCUUUAGGGUGGGGCGGGGGAAAUCCUGAAAAAAAGUGAAGUGCAGAGUUCAGAUCACCCCCAGGUCCCAUGGGUUGAGGCCUCUGUACCCUCCCCUGCCCAGGCUCAGGGCCUCCCCCACUGCAGAUAGCUUUGGAGACAGCAUAACCCAGCUGGCAGCAGCGGACCUCAGACACAUCCAACGAAACACAGACUCAGACACCAUUUACCACUGCUGCCCAGAGAAUCUGGUUUCCCCACAAAGGGUGAGGCCAGGCACUCCCAACCAAGCCUGUUCCGCACAGCUGGGUAAGCAAGGCCACCCCCAGGGAGGUCCCCAACAGCUCUACCAGCCAGUCCAGGCAGGGUACAAGGGUCCCCCCG
rnacentral:lncRNA from 1 species